rnacentral:rRNA from 1 species
UGAUGACGAGACGCUAAGGCGUUGAAGCAGUGUAUGUCAGACUUCCAAGAAAAGCUCGCAGUGUCACUAAUAAAAAAUGCCUGUACCAUAACCGACACAGGUGGGUAGGUAGAGUAUACUAAGGGGCGCGAGAUAACUCUCUCUAAGGAACUCGGCAAAAUGACUCCGUAACUUCGGGAGAAGGAGUGCCUUAUUUAUAAGGUUGCAAUAACAAGAUCCAAGCAACUGUUUAUCAAAAACACAGGUCUCCGCUAAGUCGUAAGACGAUGUAUGGGGGCUGACGCCUGCCCAGUGCCAGAAGGUUAAAGAAGUUGGUUAGUGUAUGCGAAGCUGAUGACUGAAGCCCUGGUGAACGGCGGCCGUAACUAUAACGGUCCUAAGGUAGCGAAAUUCCUUGUCGGGUAAGUUCCGACCCGCACGAAAGGCGUAAUGAUUUGGAUACUGUCUCGGAGAGAGGCUCGGUGAAAUAGACUUGUCUGUGAAGAUGCGGACUACCUGCACCAGGACAGAAAGACCCUAUGAAGCUUUACUGUAACUUGAAAUUGGAAUUGGACUUUGCUUGCGCAGUAUAGGUGGGAAGCGUUGAAAAUAUUCUUGCGGGAGUAUUGGAGCUAUCAGUGAGAUACCACUCUUGUAAUGUUAGAUUUCUAACUUUGAACCAUAAUCUGGUCAAAGAACAGUUUCAGGUGGGCAGUUUGACUGGGGCGGUCGCCUCCCAAAUGGUAACGGAGGCGUACAAAGGUUUCCUCUGAACGGAUAGAAAUCGUAUCUAGAGUGUAAAGGCAUAAGGAAGCUUGACUGUGAGACCUACAAGUCGAGCAGGGACGAAAGUCGGUCUUAGUGAUCUGACGGUACUGAGUGGAAAGGCCGUCACUCAACGGAUAAAAGUUACUCUAAGGAUAACAGGCUGAUCUCCCCCAAGAGUUCACAUCGACGGGGAGGUUUGGCACCUCGAUGUCGGCUCAUCGCAUCCUGGGGCGGUAGUACGUCCCAAGGGUUGGGCUGUUCGCCCAUGAAAGCGGUACGCGAGCUGGGUUCAGAACGUCGUGAGACAGUUCAGUCCAUAUCCGGUGUAGGCGCUAGAAUAUUGAGAGGAGCCUUCUUUAGUACGAGAGGACCGAGAAGGACACACCGCUGGUGUACCAGUUAUCGUGCCAACGGUAAACGCUGGGUAGCUAUGUGUGGAGUGGAUAACCGCUGAAAGCAUCUAAGUGGGAAGCCCACCUCGAGAUGAGUAUUCUCA